GACGAACGCUGGCGGCGUGCUUAACACAUGCAAGUCGAACGGAAAGGCCCUGCUUGCAGGGUACUCGAGUGGCGAACGGGUGAGUAACACGUGGGUGCUCUGCCCUGCACUUCGGGAUAAGCCUGGGAAACUGGGUCUAAUACCGGAUAGGAGCCAUUUUUAGUGUGAUGGUUGGAAAGUUUUUUUCGGUGUAGGAUGAGCUCGCGGCCUAUCAGCUUGUUGGUGGGGUAAUGGCCUACCAAGGCGGCGACGGGUAGCCGGCCUGAGGGGGUGGACGGCCACAUUGGGACUGAGAUACGGCCCAGACUCCUACGGGAGGCAGCAGUGGGGAAUAUUGCACAAUGGGCGCAAGCCUGAUGCAGCGACGCCGCGUGGGGGAUGACGGCCUUCGGGUUGUAAACGCCUUUCGCUAGGGACGAAGCUUUUUGUGACGGUACCUAGAUAAGAAGCACCGGCUAACUACGUG
rnacentral:rRNA from 1 species